AAACUAACAAGGAUUCCCCUAGUAACUGCGAGUGAAGCGGGAAGAGCUCAAAUUUAAAAUCUGGCGGUCCUUUGGCCGUCCGAGUUGUAUUCUGGAGAAGUGCUUUCCGCGCUGGACCGUGUAUAAGUCUCUUGGAACAGAGCGUCAUAGAGGGUGAGAAUCCCGUCUUUGACACGGACUACCAGUGCUUUGUGAUGCGCUCUCAAAGAGUCGAGUUGUUUGGGAAUGCAGCUCAAAAUGGGUGGUAAAUUCCAUCUAAAGCUAAAUAUUGGCGAGAGACCGAUAGCGAACAAGUACCGUGAGGGAAAGAUGAAAAGCACUUUGGAAAGAGAGUUAAACAGUACGUGAAAUUGUUGAAAGGGAAACGCUUGAAGUCAGUCGCGUUAGCCGGAACUCAGCCUUGCCUUCCGCUUGGUGUAUUUUCCGGUUGACGGGCCAGCAUCGAUUUUGACCGCUGGAUAAGGGCUAGGGGAAUGUGGCACCUUCGGGUGUGUUAUAGUCUCUGGUCGUAUACAGUGGUCGGGAUCGAGGACCGCAGCCUUCGGGUUUAGGAUGCUGGCGUAAUGGCUUUAAACGAC
rnacentral:rRNA from 1 species